rnacentral:lncRNA from 1 species
CGCCAUAUUUAUUUAUUUAUUUUUUCUUAUUGCCAUUAUUUAUUUUCUGUAAUUAUUUAUUGCAUUUAAUUCCAUAUAUUUACUCUAUUGCGAUACUUUAUAUUUAAUUGUAAAGUAAUCUUGAAGAUUACACCUAGGAAAUUAUAUAGUCCUGAAGACUAUAUUAAGUCGUAAUCCUGAAGAUUACGCAUCGACAUCUACUAAUCCUGCGCAUUAAUUGUGCAGGCAUGUCGG